CUUCCACAACGGGGAAAGUUGAGUUGUUGAGUUCCAAUGAACCUUACAAUUUGGAUUGCCACGUAUGUUGACUGUUUUGGACAAUCUGCGGGAAGUUGUUGGAUUUAACGACGUACUGAAUUCAUUCAACGUCCAAUCUUCAUUCACUUACGCUCUUCAACGUCCAAUCUUGCCGUGCUGCUUGGGCAUUUGUACAACACGGGGGCCACGUUUUGGACCACAACCUCAACCCAGAACCACCGUUCGGACGGCCCGAGUUCAAAGUGUUUACACCCCUAAUUGGGCUGUUCUAAAUUUUUGACAGGAGUGUCACCUCUCAGUGCCCUCCCUCUGGUGCAGAUUUACGGACAGCGGUCACGGCUUUCGAACUGUGCACCCCGUUACGUUGAGCGGUGCAAGGUCCAGGUGUCGCUCCCCUGAUAUAGUGCCGUGGGGAUAGUGAGGUUUUCCGCGAACUCUCGAGCUUCCACUGCCACGCCCGCAAUAGCUGUACACCCCGUACAGAUAGCGUUAGAAGUGUUAGUGGCUCUGUGCACUCACAACAACAAAGACUGUUGCGCGCAGUGCGCUGAACCACCACGCUAUCCCUUAUGUACGCAAAGGCGACAGCAUUCGACGUGUCGUUUUCUCACGUUAAAUACGAUAACCUGUACGUAUGGGAGUCACACAAAAAUGAAGAACCGCAGCGCUUUCUCAAGUACCUGCGGCGUACCGGUCUCCUCAGCGGCCUGCGACAUCAUGGGUGGGGCCGACGGAGGGCCCCCGAACCCACAUUGCCUUAAUCUGACUGCCCUAGGAAAACGACUACCCAUUAAGGAAUUAUUUACCAAUAAAUAGGAAGCCAUCCAUCCUGGCUGACUUUUCCUUCUAAAAUAAACAGACUGCAGCAAAAAAAGAAGAAAAAAAA